UCCCAAUAGCGGAGGAAAAGGAAACCAACAGGGAUUGCCCUAGUAACGGCGAGUGAACAGGCAAGAGCUCAGAUUUGAAAGGCACUUUUGUGCCGUUGUAUUCUGAAGUUAGGGUCCUGAGAAACGAUGCUUAAGUCUUCUGGAAAGGAGCGCCAUGGAGGGUGAUAGCCCCGUCUAGCAUUGACCUCAUAUAGGAUCUUAACAUGGAGUCGAGUUGUUUGGGAAUGCAGCUCAAAUGGGUGGUAUGCUCCAUCUAAAGCUAAAUAUCUGCGAGAGACCGAUAGUAAACAAGUACUGUGAGGGAAAGAUGAAAAGAACUUUGAAAAGAGAGUGAAAAAGUACGUGAAAUUGUUGAAAUGGAAGGGUAGGCCGCUAACCAUGUAGAGCCGUGUUUGGGGGGAAGAUAAAUGCUGUAGAAUGUAGCUCCUCGGAGUAUUAUAGAUGCAGUUCAUAUUCCCACCCGAGCGCGAGGAUCUCAGUUCUACUAAAUUCCCGGUGGUCUACCACCCGUCUUGAACCACGGACCA
rnacentral:rRNA from 1 species